AUGGCUCGCACCAUCAAAAAGGCCAGGUCGAAGAGGACCAAGGGAUCCAGGAAAGGCGAGGCCUCGUCGUCGUCUUCUACCAACACAGCGGUGGCUUCUGGCCCGGCUCAGGUGUGGCAACCAGGUGUUGAUGCGCUGGAAGAGGGGGAGGAGCUCCAGUUUGACCCGGAGGCUUACAAUUAUCUCAGAGGAUUUAGCAUUGGGUGGCCUUGCCUGAGCUUUGAUGUUCUGCGCGAUCAACUCGGGCUUGUGCGGUCGGAGUUCCCACAUACGUUAUACGGCAUUGCUGGAACUCAGUCCGAGAAGGCUUCAUGGAAUUAUGCUGGUAUUUUUAAGCUUUCCAACAUAAAGGGCAAGAAACGGGAACCAAUACCAUCUUCAGCUCUUGAUGGUGAUGAUGAUAUGGAUAGUGACAGCAGCAGCGACGAAGAUGAUGAAGAAAUCAAUGAAGAUGCAGAGUCCAUUUUGCAUUUACAAAAGGUGGCUCACGAGGGGUCGAUAAACCGAAUACGCUCAAUGAAUCAAAAGCCGGAAAUAUGUGCUACAUGGGGAGACACAGGUCAUGUUCAGGUGUGGGACUUCAGCUCCUUCAUUGCUUCAUUAGAAGACCCAGGAACAGUUACACAUAAAGAUAACGGCAUUAUCCACAAUCAUGUACCUCUAAAAGUAUUUAGCGGCCACAAAGAUGAAGGCUAUGCUAUUGAUUGGAGUCCAAAUGUUACUGGAAGACUAGUUUCUGGCGAUUGCAAUAAGUGCAUUCACCUUUGGGAGCCGACUUCAAGCGAUUGGAGUGUAGACGCCAAGCCAUUUGUUGGACACUCUGCAAGCGUUGAAGAUCUGCAGUGGAAUCCCACAGAAGAAAAUAUGUUUGCCUCUUGUUCCGUGGAUGGGACGAUAGCUAUAUGGGAUAUACGUAUAGGGAGGAACCCUUGUUAUGCUCCUGUUAAGGUUCACAAUUCUGACGUGAAUGUGAUCUCAUGGAAUUCGCUUGCAGGUUCUCUUAUAGCAUCAGGUUGUGAUGAUGGCAGUAUCUCAGUCCAUGAUAUUAGAGCAAUCGAGAGCGGCGAGCCUGGUAAGUCCAUGGUAGCACAUUUUGCGUACCACAAGCACCCGAUUACGUCUGUGGAAUGGAGUCCAUAUGAAGCAUCAACUUUGGCCGUAUCAUCUGCCGACAAUCAACUGACGAUUUGGGAUCUUUCGUUGGAAAGGGACGCAGAAGAGGAGGCCGAAUUCAAAGCCAAGAUGAAAGAACAAGCAAAUGCACCCCGAGAUUUGCCCCCACAACUUCUCUUUGUUCAUCAGGGCCAGAAAGAUUUGAAGGAAUUGCACUGGCAUCCACAGAUACCUGGGAUGAUCAUAUCCACAGCAGCCGAUGGCUUCAACGUGUUGAUGCCUAGCAACAUUGACGCAACCAUUCCAUCGGCCGGGGCAUCGAUUCCUAUGCGUAUGUGA
rnacentral:rRNA from 1 species